GCACGGGUGCGUAACGCGUAUUGAACCUGCCCUUUACUCAGGGAUAGCCUUGCGAAAGUAAGAUUAAUACCUGAUGGUGUUGUGAUGAGGCAUCUUAUUGCAACUAAAGAUUUAUUGGUAAAGGAUGGCGAUGCGUCUGAUUAGGUAGUAGGCGGGGUAACGGCCCACCUAGCCCACGAUCAGUAGGGGUUCUGAGAGGAAGGUCCCCCACAUUGGAACUGAGACACGGUCCAAACUCCUACGGGAGGCAGCAGUGAGGAAUAUUGGUCAAUGGGCGAGAGCCUGAACCAGCCAAGUAGCGUGCAGGACGACGGCCCUCUGGGUUGUAAACUGCUUUUAGUUGGGAACAAAAAAGGCGACGUGUCGCCUCUGGAGUG
rnacentral:rRNA from 1 species